AUGGACAGCGAGCUGGCUGAUUUUGCUGCUUCUUACUUCGGCGAGGAGGAAGCCGUCAAGAAGCCUGACAGCAGUCCAUCCGCAGGAGAGCGGAAGGUAUUGAUUUUACACAGGCCCACAAUCACACAGGAUCCCCCAUUCCUGAAUCCCCCUACUUAUGGCUACCCGGACGGCGGUGGCGACCAGCCAAGCUUCGUCCUCAUCGAGCCACACGCCUACUUUGCCGACCGCCUCAACGCCACCACCGCCGACUGCGGCUUGGAGGGUCUCGGUCUCCGGGGGAAAAUCAAGGUCACCUUCUGCACCGCCCAACCGCCGCAAGUCUCCUACCUCUGCGUCCAUGCCACCGACUACGACCACACCGCGUUCGCCUACCCGCCUCACAUAGUCGCCACAGAGACUGAGGGCGGCCUCGUCCUUCUAUCCGUCGUAGUCGGUGGCCGCCCAUCCUAUGCCUCGCCUCGCCUCAAACAACACUACUUUGUCUACAACGCAAGCGUCCCUGAGCUCAAGCACAUCAAGCAGCCGGGCGACGACCACCCAGUCAACGAUCACUCCUUUGCCAUUGUGAGCAAUGGCAAACCUGAUUGCACCUUCGUCCUUGCCGCACAAGCUGAUAGGUUUGGGCAUGGCAAUCCUUCUCACCUCUGCCUGUAUCAAUCUGGUACCAACUCCUGGAGCAAAGUGCUGGUGAAUGUCGAUUCAGUCCCCUACCAGCUCACCACAUACAAGGCAAUCACCAUAAAAGGAGAUUUAGGCCUAGUAGCCUGGGUUGAUCUCUCACAUAUGAUCACCUUCUGCAACGUGCUGGACAAAAGCCCCAAGCUCCGUUUCUUAAGACUACCGACCGAGCCGCAGUAUGCAAUUGGAUCGCCGGCUGUUCGGGAUGUUUCCCUCCUUAAUGGCUCCAUCAGGUUUGUUGAGCUGCUGCACCACAACCAUGGUUGGAAGGCCACAAUAUGGAGCAUCAAGACUGGUGUCUUCUCCAAAAAGGCUUGGCACAUCCAUCAUGAGCUUGAGCUUGAUUCCUCUAAUAUACCUGAACCAUCGCUGCCUAAGCUGAACGUCCAUGAAGGUGUCACAGCUCAGCCAACCUUGUCGACUCUCGACAUUGGCCUGCCCAAGCUGAGUCUCCAAGAUGAUUGCAUUCUUUACCUCCUAGCCAAGAUUGACUAUCGUGACAUGGAACACACAGCAUGGGUGCUUGCUGUUGACAUGAAGAACAAGACUGUCAAGAGAGUGGCCGAGUUUAGCCCCAAAAGGUCUAUCGCCUUGUCCACCGGCUACGAUUCAAGUAGGAUCUCCAAAUAUCUCAAAGUUGGUCCAGGUAAAGGCGUGAAUACGGAAAUGACCUGUGAUCCCCCCCUUGCAAGAAGCUGA
rnacentral:rRNA from 1 species